GGCAGUUGGACGCCUUUACACAAAAUAGCGGCGCCAUUGUCGUUGUGGUACCUGCGGCUCCUGUGCCGUGAUACUCGAGGACUGUGUGACUUGGAUAUAAUCUCCUCUGGUACAGAUCUGGGAGUGACACAUCUGCCUCUUUAGAGAUCUGGGCCUGACAAGCUAAGAUGCAGCUUGACUGCACUGCAAGUUUAUCUGGUACUGAACAGGAUUCUGGGUACCUAUGGUUCUGAAGAUAAGUGGGGUUAGGCUCCACUAAUUUAGGCCCCUUCCUCUGAAAUGUUGAGUGAGAUGCCAAGUCUGCACACAAUCCAACUCUCAGGUAUUAUGGCAUCUACUUCUAGCACUGUUGUGACUGGCUUAGUGGAUGGCUUAAGUCUGUCUAUUCUAAACAAGCUGCUGGGUCUCUGUCUGGGACAAAAAUACCUGUUGUCAUAUCUUGAGGAAAACAAUAGUCUAUCCUUGUGGUAAUUGUGUUGAUCAACAGAAAACCAGUAUCAUACACAUAAAAUGAAUAUUUCAUCAAUAAGCUACACUGUUUUGAACACUUCCUCAGAGAAAGACCCAGUGGCCAGUUCAGAAUAGACAGACUAUAGUGUGCAGGUUUUUUUUAUGUUAGGCCCUUGGCAGAGGCUGCUGUAGUUUGAGGGCAGGUCUAUGUAUGGCCUCCCUCCCUUGAGAUGUGUGAUGGUGGAUGUUAGUCAGGAGUGUGUGGGAUCAGAGUUGUUUCCAUUCAGUAGUUUGGAAGAUUUUCUGGAUGAGGGGAUCUCCACAAGUAGAUAUGUUUUCCUUUGUCCUGACUCAGUGUCUGCCCCUGUAUGUGUCACCUCUAAUGGAUCAGGGAGUGUAUAGACAUGAUGCUUUCCCUCUCCAGUGAAUAGACGUAGACCUGUACGCCUUUCUCCCCUUCACUGAGAUCCCAUUGUGUUUUAUUGAGGGUUUGGGAGAGUGAAGAUGGCAUCAGUGUUGCAACAGGCAGACACUCUUCCAGUUCUCACAAGAUAUUUUGACAUUAUGCAUGGAGACUUCUCAGUGUCUCUCCAGAGAAAGCAAUUUGCACUGGUUUGAGUCAUAAGGUUUAGAUACAUGUUCUCCUUGUGCUGAAAUUGGCAGUAAUUUUUCUUGUAUUUCUUUAGGAUGUUAGGCCCUUGUCUGUGUCAGCAAUUAGGGGAACAUAUUUCCAUUAGCAGACCAAUCCUAAAAAGGACCUUAGUGAAGAUCUUACUUUCUUCAAAUAUGUGACACUCGGUAAUAAACUGUACACACACACAGACGUGUGUGUAUCUGUAUGUAUUUACCUAGUUGUAUAUCACAAGGUUCAAGCAGGGCUCAUAGUGACCUGUCUCCAUACCUAAUU
rnacentral:lncRNA from 1 species